GUAGAACACGUGGCCCGCGCCCCGCGGCGGGCUCGUGGCGGUGGGGUAGGGUGGGCGAGGGGCAGACGCGGUGCCCGCGCUCUUGGAGCUUAUAGGCCGGCGGCGGGACGGGCCGCAAACAAGUAAACUAACCAGCUCUUUACGCGAGCGAAGAAUGCGGCGAAGGGACCGAGGUACUCGGAGAAUAGCAGAGGGCGUCUGCUUGGUUAGGGAGCGCAGGGAAGGCCUCUCCGUAAAGAGGGGACAUUGAGGUGUGACCUGAAUUUGAGACGGGGGGGGGGGGGGGGCGUCAGGCAGGGUUAGAGGUCAGAAAGGAAACCCCACGCUCAGCAGCUGCAGGGGUGUUCCCAGCCUCAAGUUUUGUGUUGGGUGGCGGCUGAAACCUUCCACGCGAAAACCAGGCUGUGUUUCUCCGUGACUUGUCCCGAUGCCAGACGGUCAAAGAACGUGGAUGUACACAAGAAUGUGCACUUUUAAAAACCAUUUUAUUUUGAAAUAAACAUAUCACAAGUUGCAGGGAGUGUACGGAGAGGUUGUGUGUACUCUCUCUAUCCACUUUCCCCCAAUGGUUACACCUUACUUACCUGGUAGGUAUCAGAGUAUGGAAAUUGACAGUGGCACAAGGUUGUGUGUGUGUGUGUGUAGUUCUGUGCCCUUCUAUCCCAUGCUUAGAUUGGUGUAACCACCACUGCAACCAAGUUCCAGAGCUAUGCCAUCACCACCGAGAUGUCCCUUGUGAGGAGUACAUUUUUCUUCUUUUUAGUCUGCUCAGUUUUGGGUUGCUUCAUACCCAACGCUUGUGGUAUUUGGUUAAUAUGAAAUGGUAGACUUUCUGAUCUUAGCUCUGGAGGCUUGUGGCUGUCAGGAUGGAAGGUGAAGCAGGCAGGGUUCUAACAGGUUGUUAAGACAGGGGCUGAUCCUCUUUGCCAGUAUGUGAUCAAAGCCUGAUGCAGAGCUGUAAAGUUGACUUCCCGUCACAUAUGGGCAAAGAACUCUAUUUUCCUGGGUGUGGAGCACAGCUUGUGCAGUCGUUUGGUUUAUAAGGCUCCUGGUGAAGAUAAGGAGGGGAGUACAGUAAUUAAUGAUCCGUCCUCUCUAAAUCAUCCUUGAGAAAAUCCACAGCUUCAUUUUUUCCAUUCUGCAAUGAAUAAGCCCCAGAGGCAUGUACUUCCUGUUUAUGAUGUGGUUCCCAGGAAAAAGGAGCAAAGGCACCAGUAGCUGACAAAACGCUUCAGUAAAGGAGGGCUUGAUUACAAAUUGCAUAUCAUGAAAAACCAGCUUUCAUUUUGCUGGAAAAGAAAAUGUUUCCAAAUGAUUUGGAUGUUUGUACUCCUACUCGCUCUCUUUGCUCAAGUCUCAAAGCAAUCCCAGCAGCAUGACUCCUGGAGAAUUAGAGACUUCUCCCUUUGGGACAAAGACUUUGAUAAACACUUGUUGGCUAGGGUUUCAGAUUGCAUCAGUUCAGGGAACUCAUUCCAGGCCCCAGACCAAGAACAAGCUUUGACUUGAUUUCUAAAUUACUUUCAGGAUGGUAUUUCCAGAUCUUGAUUUUAAAAUGCCAAAUUUUGCUUGCCCGUGAAACUGGUGUAUUCUGGUUUUCUCACGUGUAUUCCUGUAAAAAUGUAUUAAUUAAAUAUACUUUAAAAAUAAAUAUCAUCCUCUUCCUUUGGGAGACUUUUUAAUGCUAAAUUUUCUUCCAGGAAUGAUUAGAAGUUAGAAUGGUUUUUGAGAACUUUAUGUUGUAAAAAUGGCUUAUAAGAACUUAUAUAAAAUUAAAAAUAAUUGGAAGAGAGAAUUAUUUACAAUCUUAUCACCUCUAACAGAACUAUUAUAAUUUUGGUGAAUUUUUUGCUCUAGCAGUUGCUUAAAGGAUAUUUGCAUGUAAGUUAAAAUCAUGUUUCCAUGAUUCUUUUAUGUUUUAUUUUGCUCUUAUUUCCCUAGCAUAUUUAGGGAACCAAAUUAAGUAUUGAUUGAUGGUGAUAGUGAUGAUAUUAAGACAUGGAUUUGGCUUAAAGAAAUACAUGCACCAUGAAGCCAUGUAAUUGAAUAAGUCAGAAGGAAAUUUAGUCUGUCUUUUUCCUGUGUCCACUCAAGAAAUGCUUUAAUAACAACAGGAGAAUCAUUGUUUAUUUUUUUCCUUUAAAUUGUGAAUCCAGGCCGUUCUCAAUGCCGUUAGUGACAUCAGCCAGCCAAACACUUUUGAGGGAACAUCAAUACUAACAAGUUACAUCUGUUUGUGGCAUUUUCCUCAGUAUGGGACGAACAAGUUUGAUCUGUUUGUCUAUGUGGAUUAAUUCACAUUUAUUGUAUUACAGCAGCAUUUUAAUCUUAUUAGCUCUUCUCUUUAGGAAAUUACUCCUGGAAUUGAAUCAUACCAAGAAUUUCACCGGAGGAUUUUAUACAUUUGGGCUGUGGCAGCAGACCAAUUAAACCACAGAGCUGGUCUAGAGGUGAGAAGUCCAAGAUCAAGAGUGAGCAGAGUUGGUUUCUUCUAAGGAGCCUGAGGGAAGAAUCUGUUCCAGGUCUCUCUCCUUGACUUUUAGUGUUUGUAUCAUUGUUGAUUUCCUGUGUCAAAUGCAUCUGUCUGUCUUAGAUAUUGAAGUUAUAAAGGAUAAAACCCACGACCAGAUGGCACCCCGCUAGUCUGCUCUACUUUGACUCCUAGUACCCUGGCCCUAAAGGAGCAUCUCCAACAUACGUCAGUAAAAUUGCUUUGGUUUACUGUUGCCUGGAGGAACCAAGGACUUGCAGAGUACACAAGGCUUUUCCGGCAGAAAAGAAAAAUACAAAUGCCACUUCCCAGACUAACUCACAGAGCGUGGUGUCAGAGAAAAGAGAAAAUUGAGAAAAUACUUGGACUUCAAAGAGAUCAUAUAGGACUUUUACACGGUUUCUUCCUUGGAGACUCAAGACUUAUGGCAUGGUGGUUUGGGAAGACAUGGAAAAUCUCAAGUGGG